CACGUAGGCGGAUACUUAAGUUAGGGUGAAAUCCCAGAGCUCAACUCUGGAACUGCCUUUAAUACUGGGUAUCUCGAGUCCGAGAGAGGUGAGUGGAAUUCCGAGUGUAGAGGUGAAAUUCGUAGAUAUUCGGAGGAACACCAGUGGCGAAGGCGGCUCACUGGCUCGGUACUGACGCUGAGGUGCGAAAGCGUGGGGAGCAAACA
rnacentral:rRNA from 1 species